AAAUAGCCCUGAUGGAAGCGGAAAUACUUUUUGGCUCCGUUAUAUUGUAUUUUCGAAAGCUUUCCAAAAAGAUUGAGUGUACAGCAGGAGCAGCC
rnacentral:sRNA from 1 species